GUAGGUGGCAAGCGUUAUCCGGAAUUAUUGGGCGUAAAGAGUACGUAGGCGGUUCUUUAAGCGCAGGGUUUAAGGCGAUAGCUUAACUAUCGUUCGCCCUGUGAACUGGGGGACUUGAGUAUCGGAGAGGAAAGCGGAAUUCCUAGUGUAGCGGUGAAAUGCGUAGAUAUUAGGAGGAACACCAGUGGCGAAGGCGGCUUUCUGGACGAAAACUGACGCUGAGGUACGAAAGCGUGGGGAGCAAA
rnacentral:rRNA from 1 species